AAAGAUUUGGUCCUAGUCUUGAAACCAAUUUAUACUUAACUUACACAUGCAAGUAUCCGCACCCCUGUGAAAACGCCCUUAAUUUCCUUCUGGUACAAGGAGCCGGUAUCAGGCACAUUACAUGCCCAAGACACCUAGCUACGCCACACCCACAAGGGAUUUCAGCAGUGAUUAAUAUUAAAUAUGAGCGUCAGCUCGAUUUAGUUAAAGUAUAAAGAGCCGGCAAAUCUGGUGCCAGCCGCCGCGGUUACACCAAGAGGCUCAAAUUGAUUUUAUUCGGCGUAAAGCGUGAUUAAAGUAAAAUAAUUAUAGAGUUAAACUACAACUAAGCCGUAGCACGCUAGUCAUUAGGAAACUCAAAAACGAAAGUUAUUCUAUUUUAAACAACUUGAAUUCACGACAACUAGGGCACAAACUGGGAUUAGAUACCCCACUAUGCCUAGUCGUAAACUUUAAAUUACACCUAUAUCGCCAGGGAAUUACGAGCUAAGCUUAAAACCCAAAGGACUUGACGGUACCCCAUAUCCAUCUAGAGGAGCCUGUCCUGUAAUCGAUACCCCCCGUUUAACCUCACCAUUUUUAGUCUGUCAGUCUGUAUACCUCCGUCGUCAGCUUACCACGUGAGCGCAACUCAGUAAGCUAAAUGUUCUACACCAAUACGUCAGGUCAAGGUGCAACAAAUAAAAUGGGAAGAGAUGGGCUACACUUUCUAUUCUAGAAUAUACGAAAGACUAUUUAUGAAAUCUAGUCAGAAGGCGGAUUUAGUAGUAAAAAGAAACUAGAGAGUUCUUUUUAACACGGCACUGGGGUGUGUACACACCGCCCGUCACCCUCUUCAAAGCCCUAAAAACAGUUUUUAACUAAUUGAAGCAACAAAGAAGAGGUAAGUCGUAACAUGGUAAGUAUACCGGAAGGUGUGCUUGGAUU
rnacentral:ncRNA from 1 species